rnacentral:rRNA from 1 species
GACGUAGGAGGCGAGCGUUGUCCGGAUUCAUUGGGCGUAAAGAGCACGCAGGCGGUUUGGCAAGUCGGAUGUGAAAACCCGGAGCUCAACUCCGGGCGUGCAUCCGAUACUGCCCGACUAGAGGUAGGUAGGGGAGAUCGGAAUUCCUGGUGUAGCGGUGAAAUGCGCAGAUAUCAGGAGGAACACUGGUGGCGAAGGCGGAUCUCUGGGCCUUACCUGACGCUCAGGUGCGAAAGCUAGGGGAGCGAACAGG